CAAAUCAUGUACCCCCACAGAGGGUCCAGAUUGUUCUUAGUUCUUCUGGAGGCACAUGGUUUGAA
ensembl:miRNA Mir3475 microRNA 3475